AACGCGAAGAACCUUACCUGGGCUCGAAAUGUAAAGGACGAUAUCAGAGAUGGUAUCUCCCGAAAGGGUCUUUAUAUAGGUGCUGCAUGGCUGUCGUCAGCUCGUGCCGUGAGGUGUUUGGUUAAGUCCAGCAACGAGCGCAACCCUUAUCGUUAGUUGCCAGCGCGUAAUGGCGGGAACUCUAACGAGACUGCCUGGGUUAACCAGGAGGAAGGUGAGGAUGACGUCAAGUCCGCAUGGCCUUUAUGUCCAGGGCUACACACGUGCUACAAUGGUCGGUACAAACCGUCGCAAACCCGCGAGGGGGAGCUAAUCGGAAAAAGCCGACCUCAGUUCGGAUUGGAGUCUGCAACUCGACUCCAUGAAGCUGGAAUCGCUAGUAAUCGCGGAUCAGAACGCCGCGGUGAAUACGUUCCCGGGCCUUGUACACACCGCAUAC
rnacentral:rRNA from 1 species